CAUCAGAGAAAGGGUAGACUCUGUACCCUAGAACCUGGAGCUAACAGAGAAAAAAUGUGAUGUGGACUAUGCUAGACAGGCUAUUGGAGUAAGGGUGAAGGUCUCAUCAUUGGGACAUAUUAACACAGUGUUUUUAUGCAGAUGACUGAACCCAUAGAGUUAGGUGGCUGAGAGGAUGCAGCCUCCCAGAUCUCUACAACUGAUGUCAGCAAGAUGGGAGCACCCAGCUUCAGUGUUCAGAAGUAGAUUUAUGCAGACUUCCACAUCUUACAUGCAGGAGGGAUCCUCCCUUACCUGAGCAGGGAGGCAGCAGGUGGCUGAAAUCCUGGUGUGAUGUGGCUGGAUUAUGCAUGAUCUGAGGACUACUGCACAGGUAACUGCAGGAUGAGUUCAGAAUUUUUCUAUAAAUAUAUUAAAAUACAAAGUAAUCCAGGAGCAGCCACUAGGCAAACACCAAACCUUGCAUUCCUGACCAGAUCUAUCACAGAGCUCAUCAGCACAGAGCUCCUCACACAGGUGACUGAACCCGUGGUUUUGGUGUCUGAGAAGAUGCAGCUUCUCCAGUCUCUGCAACUGAUAUCAGCAAGAUGGGAGCACUCAGCUUCAGUGUUCAGAAGCAGAUUUAGGCCGACUACCACACCUUAUGUCCUGGAGGGAUCCACCCUGACUUGUGCAGGUAAGGUCACAGAAAGACUUGCUUUCCAUCACGGGGACAGGAUUACAGCCUGCUCAGAAGCAUCUUUUGGUCCAGCUCUUGCGUCAUUUAAAAGAUUCCAGCUCCUCUCUAAUACUGAAUUCAACUAGUAUUACAGAGAGAUGUUGCUAAUCUUCUAAGCAAACACACUGCCAUCAGGAUCUCCCAGAAGCCACACACACACACACCUUGGAACCAUAAUGCCAGCAGUAGCUAUAGUAGAACGUGCAGGCUCAUGUACCUGUUGAUCAUUUUUAGGCUACAUAUCAAACUGGACCAUUCUGCAAUAAAAAUAUAAUGCAAUGAUGAUUAUCAGAGCAUUUUGUACACUAGGGAAUGUUUUAAGUUAUCUGAACAUCAAAUUAAAUAUAAUGACAA